UACGAAGGGGGCUAGCGUUGUUCGGAUUUACUGGGCGUAAAGCGCACGUAGGCGGCUUGGUCAGUUAGGGGUGAAAUCCCAGAGCUCAACUCUGGAACUGCGCUUAAUACUGCCAGUCUAGAGUCCGGAAGAGGUGAGUGGAACUCCUAGUGUAGAGGUGGAAUUCGUAGAUAUCUGGAGGAACACCCGUGGCGAAGGCGGCUCUCUGGUCCGAAACUGACGCUGAGGUGCGAAAGCUAGGGUAGCAAACAGG
rnacentral:rRNA from 1 species